rnacentral:rRNA from 1 species
GGCGAACGGGUGAGUAAUACAUCGGAACGUGCCCGAUCGUGGGGGAUAACGGAGCGAAAGCUUUGCUAAUACCGCAUACGAUCUACGGAUGAAAGCGGGGGAUCUUCGGACCUCGCGCGGACGGAGCGGCCGAUGGCAGAUUAGGUAGUUGGUGGGAUAAAAGCUUACCAAGCCGACGAUCUGUAGCUGGUCUGAGAGGAUGAUCAGCCACACUGGGACUGAGACACGGCCCAGACUCCUACGGGAGGCAGCAGUGGGGAAUUUUGGACAAUGGGGCAACCCUGAUCCAGCCAUGCCGCGUGCAGGAUGAAGGCCUUCGGUUGUAAACUGCUUUGUACGG